rnacentral:rRNA from 1 species
GACAGAGGGUGCAAACGUUGUUCGGAAUUACUGGGCGUAAAGCGCAUGUAGGCGGCCACGCAGGUCGGAUGUGAAAUCCCUCGGCUCAACCGAGGACGUGCAUUCGAAACCGCAUGGCUCGAGUCCCGGAGAGGGUGGUGGAAUUCUCGGCGUAGAGGUGAAAUUCGUAGAUUUCGGGAGGAACACCGGCGGCGAAAGCGGCCACCUGGACGAGGACUGACGCUGAGAUGCGAAAGCGUGGGGAGCAAGCAGG